UACGUAGGGUGCGAGCGUUAAUCGGAAUUACUGGGCGUAAAGCGUGCGCAGGCGGUUCGUUGUGUCCGUCGUGAAAGCCCCGGGCUUAACCUGGGAACUGCGAUGGAAACCAUCUGGCUAGAGUCCGGAAGAGGAGAGUGGAAUUCCUGGUGUAGCGGUGAAAUGCGCAGAUAUCAGGAGGAACACCCGUGGCGAAAGCGGCUCUCUGGGACGGUACUGACGCUGAGACGCGAAAGCGUGGGGAGCAAACAGG
rnacentral:rRNA from 1 species